GUAACAAGGUUUCCGUAGGUGAACCUGCGGAAGGAUCAUUACACAAAAAAGUUUUUUACUUUUUAAACCACACUGUGAACCAAAAAAACCAUACUGCUUCGGUAGCAGGCCCGGUUCCGUUUUCCGAACGGUUCAGGUGUCCGUCAGCCUGCCGGUAGCACCCUCAACUAAACUUGUUUUUAUAAAUUUUGUCUGAACAGAAUCAUUUUCGAAUGAAAAUUAAAACUUUCAACAACGGAUCUCUUGGUUCUCGCAUCGAUGAAGAACGCAGCGAAACGCGAUAGUUAAUGUGAAUUGCAGAAUUCAGUGAAUCAUCGAGUCUUUGAACGCACAUUGCGCCUUUUGGUAUUCCGAAAGGCAUGUCUGUUUGAGCGUCAUUUCAACUCCUUCAGCCUUCAGGUUGGUCUUGAGCUCGGAAAACCUCGCGAAAGCGAGGUGUCCGGCUUUAAAGUUGAACGCUCUGCGGGUGACUUUACCUAACCGAACAUAGUAAUAAGCAUUUUGCCUUGUUCCGCUUGGUGUAACUGGUCAGCUCCGCCUGAACAACAAUCUUAUUCUCUAAGGUUUGACCUCAGAUCAGACAAGGAUACCCGCUGAACUUAAGCAUAUCA
rnacentral:rRNA from 1 species